rnacentral:rRNA from 1 species
UACAGAGGGUGCAAGCGUUAAUCGGAAUUACUGGGCGUAAAGCGCGCGUAGGUGGUUCGUUAAGUUGGAUGUGAAAUCCCGGGCUCAACCUGGGAACUGCAUUCAAAACUGACGAGCUAGAGUAUGGUAGAGGGUGGUGGAAUUUCCUGUGUAGCGGUGAAAUGCGUAGAUAUAGGAAGGAACACCAGUGGCGAAGGCGACCACCUGGACGUGAUACUGACCACUGAGGUGCGAAAGCGUGGGAGCAAACAGGAUAGAUACCGUGUAGUCAGA